GCGGGUGUAGUUCAGUGGUAGAACACCAGCCUUCCAAGCUGGCCGUGUGGGUCCGAUUCCCAUCACCCGCUCCA
rnacentral:tRNA from 1 species